GGUAAAAUAGUUUAAAAAACAGUGGUUUUGUAAGCCAAAAAUAGAAUUAUUCUUUUUACCU
rnacentral:tRNA from 1 species